rnacentral:lncRNA from 1 species
GGCGGACCGCGGAGGUGAGCGCGGCUGCAGGCUGCGGUCGUAGUGGACUAAUUUUACAGGCGAAGUUAAGUGACUUACCCAAAACCUCACAGCUAAUAAACGGCAGAGCCGGCACCCAGCUGUACUGGCUUCCAAUUCUGUUAGCUUACCAGCGCAUCACAUUAUCUCCAUAAAUCCCCAUGAUUCAACUAAUAUUAGACGCCCCACAGAGUCUCGCUACUCAAAACGUGGUCAGUGGCCCAGCAGCACUGACAUGAGGAUGUUAGUUAGAAACUCAGAAUCUCAGGCUCCACCCCAGACCUGCUGAACCAGCAUCUUCAACUUAACAAGAACCCGAAGAGAUUUGUGUCACAUCAAAAAGUUUGAGAAGCUCUGAUCUAGGGCUGGAAGGAGUGUUGCUCAACAAUAUCCAAAACCACAGAGGUUGAAAAGCACAAGGAAAGAAGGUAUGUUUGCACUUUGUGAUUAGGUAGUAGGGUCUUUGAGACCACAUUGUUCUUAUUGAAAGCCUGGGAAGAAAGAUCCCCUUUCUGGUCAAGUUUAGUCUAGGGAUCCAUCCCAUCUUCCCCAGUUCCCACGUGUAUGGGACAUGUCGAGAUAAGUAGAUAGAUUGGACAGUGGGAGAAAGUAGUUCUCUUCCAGUUGCUUCUAUUUUCUCAGCAAAGUGAGGAGCAAGAUCAUUUUGGCAGACUGCUAAUUGUCCAUCACAAUUUAGUCUCCCUUUCUCCCUGAAAACACAGACUGCUUUUCUCAGCCUCUCUUUCAGUUGCAUAUGGUCAAGUAUUAAGUUAUAGAACGUGAGCAGAUGUUAUGUCUGCCACUGUCAGGCCAAGGCGUUUACUUUGAGAGUACUUGUGCCUCUUUCAUGCAUUUUCCUUUCUGCCAGCUGGACCCUGGACACGGUGACUCUGAUUCAAUUAUGCAGAUGACCACAAACCUCUGGGGUUGGCAGAGCCACAAGAAAGAAGGUGCCUGGAUGAAGGAGAGCUACCCACUGACCUGGACACCCAAUUAUAGGAUAGACAGUGAAGUGCAACUACAGCCCGCAAAUGAAAAUGAAUAAUAUUAAUCCAGCCCCUCAAGGCAGUCAUCUGUCUUAGAGCUAUUGGAAUCCUGGAUCAUUGUGGGAAAUGAAAGGAACUGGUUUUUAGCAAGGAGACCAAGAAACUCUACUCCCUAGGGGCUAGCAAUGAGAGAAAGGAAGCCUUAAGUCUUUGAGCACAGGGUGACAGUUUGGGUCCUAUGUGAGAUGAUCAAAUCCACAGCAACAGAGGAAAGGACAAAAGGAAAAGGUCUGUAGCAGCACUACAUCAGAAAAAAAUGGAUUCAGCAAGGAAGUGGGUGACUCUGAGUAAGCAUCCAUGUCAGGAUGGUUUUGCUACAGCCCCCAACAAAACAUUAAUUAGUUUAAGAAACUCAACUUCGGUUUACAAGUGUUUUGGAAAAGUAACAAAGAACAACAUAAGUAACAAAAUAAUUCCUCAGGUCAUUACAAUGGAUGUUUCCUAUAACUGAAAAAUAUGGUUAAAAAGUACAAACUACAUUUGGUGUGCAAACUGUUUAGUUCUUAAUUCCAAACUAAAUUGUACAUUAUAUAGUAAAAUUUUGACCAGAAAAACUUGGAGAUUUUAGUAAAAAUUUCAUUGACAUAUUUACAGCCCCAGUGUAGUUUGGCCGGUGUGCAAAGCCUGACUAAGGAGGUUAUAGAAAAAAAUAUCAGACUUAAGCCCAUCAAAUCAUUAAAGAUGCUUUGGCAAGACUUCAAGCUUUACAGACAUACUCCAUGUGACCAGAGAUGUCAUAACCAGUGUUCUUUCUCUUGAAAUGUUAGAAUGCUUUAGUUUUAUUCUAUAAUUUCCGUGUUCCAUGGAACAGCAUUCAUUUCUCCCAGUUUUAGUAACAUAAUGAGAGAUAUAUUGAGUGUAUAGAGCAGGAAAGACAUGAAAACUUAUAUUGCAUAAUAUUAGCAAACAUAAAAGAUAGCAUUAUAAAUUUUUAAAAAUCCAAAAAAAUUCCAGAAACAGAACAGUGAGCAUGUUUAAAAAGUCAGGACUGACCGUUUCUGUGAGUUCUGAGGACUGUAAAUGAGCCUCAAUCCAUAAAGCUGAGAGGUUGUCUUAGCCCACAUAUGCAGCAGGUGACUCCCUCUGACAAAAGCAAGAUUUAGCUGGAUCUUUUAAAAAAAAAA